UUGCAGGGUAUAGACCCGAAACCCGGUGAUCUAGCCAUGGGCAGGUUGAAGGUUGGGUAACACUAACUGGAGGACCGAACCGACUAAUGUUGAAAAAUUAGCGGAUGACCUGUGGCUGGGGGUGAAAGGCCAAUCAAACCGGGAGAUAGCUGGUUCUCCCCGAAAGCUAUUUAGGUAGCGCCUCGUGAAUUCAUCUCCGGGGGUAGAGCACUGUUUCGGCUAGGGGGCCAUCCCGGCUUACCAACCCGAUGCAAACUGCGAAUACCGGAGAAUGUUAUCACGGGAGACACACGGCGGGUGCUAACGUCCGUCGUGAAGAGGGAAACAACCCAGACCGCCAGCUAAGGUCCCAAAGUCAUGGUUAAGUGGGAAACGAUGUGGGAAGGCCCAGACAGCCAGGAUGUUGGCUUAGAAGCAGCCAUCAUUUAAAGAAAGCGUAAUAGCUCACUGGUCGAGUCGGCCUGCGCGGAAGAUGUAACGGGGCUAAACCAUGCACCGAAGCUGCGGCAGCGACACUGUGUGUUGUUGGGUAGGGGAGCGUUCUGUAAGCCUGUGAAGGUGUGUCGUGAGGCAUGCUGGAGGUAUCAGAAGUGCGAAUGCUGACAUAAGUAACGAUAAAGCGGGUGAAAAGCCCGCUCGCCGGAAGACCAAGGGUUCCUGUCCAACGUUAAUCGGGGCAGGGUGAGUCGACCCCUAAGGCGAGGCCGAAAGGCGUAGUCGAUGGGAAACGGGUUAAUAUUCCCGUACUUGGUGUUACUGCGAAGGGGGGACGGAGAAGGCUAUGUUGGCCGGGCGACGGUUGUCCCGGUUUAAGCGUGUAGGUGUGUGUUCCAGGUAAAUCCGGUUCACUUUAACACUGAGGCGUGACGACGAGGCACUACGGUGCUGAAGCAACAAAUGCCCUGCUUCCAGGAAAAGCCUCUAAGCAUCAGGUAACAUCAAAUCGUACCCCAAACCGACACAGGUGGUCAGGUAGAGAAUACCAAGGCGCUUGAGAGAACUCGGGUGAAGGAACUAGGCAAAAUGGUGCCGUAACUUCGGGAGAAGGCACGCUGACACGUAGGUGAAGUGAUUUACUCAUGGAGCUGAAGUCAGUCGAAGAUACCAGCUGGCUGCAACUGUUUAUUAAAAACACAGCACUGUGCAAACACGAAAGUGGACGUAUACGGUGUGACGCCUGCCCGGUGCCGGAAGGUUAAUUGAUGGGGUCAGCGCAAGCGAAGCUCCUGAUCGAAGCCCCGGUAAACGGCGGCCGUAACUAUAACGGUCCUAAGGUAGCGAAAUUCCUUGUCGGGUAAGUUCCGACCUGCACGAAUGGCGUAAUGAUGGCCAGGCUGUCUCCACCCGAGACUCAGUGAAAUUGAACUCGCUGUGAAGAUGCAGUGUACCCGCGGCAAGACGGAAAGACCCCGUGAACCUUUACUAUAGCUUGACACUGAACAUUGAGCCUUGAUGUGUAGGAUAGGUGGGAGGCUUUGAAGUGUGGACGCCAGUCUGCAUGGAGCCGACCUUGAAAUACCACCCUUUAAUGUUUGAUGUUCUAACGUGGACCCGUUACCCGGGUUGCGGACAGUGUCUGGUGGGUAGUUUGACUGGGGCGGUCUCCUCCUAAAGAGUAACGGAGGAGCACGAAGGUUGGCUAAUCCUGGUCGGACAUCAGGAGGUUAGUGCAAUGGCAUAAGCCAGCUUGACUGCGAGCGUGACGGCGCGAGCAGGUGCGAAAGCAGGUCAUAGUGAUCCGGUGGUUCUGAAUGGAAGGGCCAUCGCUCAACGGAUAAAAGGUACUCCGGGGAUAACAGGCUGAUACCGCCCAAGAGUUCAUAUCGACGGCGGUGUUUGGCACCUCGAUGUCGGCUCAUCACAUCCUGGGGCUGAAGUAGGUCCCAAGGGUAUGGCUGUUCGCCAUUUAAAGUGGUACGCGAGCUGGGUUUAGAACGUCGUGAGACAGUUCGGUCCCUAUCUGCCGUGGGCGCUGGAGAACUGAGGGGGGCUGCUCCUAGUACGAGAGGACCGGAGUGGACGCAUCACUGGUGUUCGGGUUGUCAUGCCAAUGGCACUGCCCGGUAGCUAAAUGCGGAAGAGAUAAGUGCUGAAAGCAUCUAAGCACGAAACUUGCCCCGA
rnacentral:rRNA from 1 species